rnacentral:rRNA from 1 species
AGAAUCAACGCUGGCGGCGUGCCUAACACAUGCAAGUCGAACGAGAAAGGGUAGCAAUACCUGAGUAAAGUGGCGCACGGGUGAGUAACACGUGACUAACCUACCUUUUAGUGGGGGAUAACCUAGGGAAACCUGGGCUAAUACCGCAUAAUACCUACGGGUCAAAGCAGCAAUGCGCUGAAUGAGGGGGUCGCGGUCGAUUAGUUAGUUGGCAGGGUAAUGGCCUACCAAGACUGUGAUCGAUAUCCGGCCUGAGAGGGCGCACGGACACACUGGAACUGAAACACGGUCCAGACUCCUACGGGAGGCAGCAGUGGGGAAUUUUGCGCAAUGGGGGAAACCCUGACGCAGCAACGCCGCGUGGAGGAUGAAGUCCCUUGGGACGUAAACUCCUUUCGAUCGGACGAUAAUGACGGUACCGGAAGAAGAGCCCCGGCUAACUUCGCGCCAGCAGCCGC